rnacentral:rRNA from 2 species
UACGAAGGGUGCAAACGUUGCUCGGAAUCAUUGGGCGUAAAGCGCACGUAGGCGGCUUUGCAAGUCUGACGUGAAAUCCCUCAGCUCAACUGAGGAAGUGCAUCGGAAACUGCAAGGCUUGAGUACUGAAGAGGAUCGCGGAAUUCCCGGUGUAGAGGUGAAAUUCGUAGAUAUCGGGAGGAACACCAGUGGCGAAGGCGGCGAUCUGGGCAGAUACUGACGCUGAGGUGCGAAAGCGUGGGGAGCAAACAGG